rnacentral:rRNA from 1 species
GACGAACGCUGGCGGCGUGCUUAACACAUGCAAGUCGAACGGAAAGGCCCUGCUUUUGUGGGGUGCUCGAGUGGCGAACGGGUGAGUAACACGUGAGUAACCUGCCCUUGACUUUGGGAUAACUUCAGGAAACUGGGGCUAAUACCGGAUAGGAGCUCCUGCUGCAUGGUGGGGGUUGGAAAGUUUCGGCGGUUGGGGAUGGACUCGCGGCUUAUCAGCUUGUUGGUGGGGUAGUGGCUUACCAAGGCUUUGACGGGUAGCCGGCCUGAGGGGGUGACCGGCCACAUGGGGACUGAGAUACGGCGCAGACGCCUACGGGAGGCAGCAGUGGGGAAUAUUGCACAAUGGGCGGAAGCCUGAUGCGGCAACGCCGCGUGCGGGAUGACGGCCUUCGGGUUGUAAACCGCUUUCGCCUGUGACGAAGCGUGAGUGACGGUAAUGGGUAAAGAAGCACCGGCUAACUACGUG